UACGUAGGUCCCGAGCGUUGUCCGGAUUUAUUGGGCGUAAAGCGAGCGCAGGUGGUUUAUUAAGUCUGGUGUAAAAGGCAGUGGCUCAACCAUUGUAUGCAUUGGAAACUGGUAGGCUUGAGUGCAGGAGAGGAGAGUGGAAUUCCAUGUGUAGCGGUGAAAUGUGUAGAUAUAUGGAGGAACACCGGUGGCGAAAGCGGCUCUCUGGCCUGUAACUGACACUGAGGCUCGAAAGCGUGGGGAGCAAACAGG
rnacentral:rRNA from 1 species